rnacentral:rRNA from 1 species
GUGGGGAAUAUUGGACAGUGGGCGAAAGCCUGAUCCAGCCAUGCCGCGUGUGUGAAGAAGGUCUUCGGAUUGUAAAGCACUUUAAGUUGGGAGGAAGGGUAGUAACCUAAUACGUUGCUACUUUGACGUUACCGACAGAAUAAGCACCGGCUAACUUCGUGCCAGCAGCCGCGGUAAUACGAAGGGUGCAAGCGUUAAUCGGAAUUACUGGGCGUAAAGCGCGCGUAGGUGGUUCAGUAAGUUGGAAGUGAAAUCCCCGGGCUCAACCUGGGAACUGCUUUCAAAACUGCUGAGCUAGAGUACGGUAGAGGGUGGUGGAAUUUCCUGUGUAGCGGUGAGAUGCGUAGAUAUAGGAAGGAACACCAGUGGCGAAGGCGACCACCUGGACUGAUACUGAUACUGAGGUGCGAAAGCGUGGGGAGCAAACAGGAUUAGAAACCCCAGUAGUCC